rnacentral:misc_RNA from 1 species
GAUGAAGAACGCAGCGAAAUGCGAUACUUGGUGUGAAUUGCAGAAUCCCGUGAACCAUCGAGUCUUUGAACGCAAGUUGCGCCCGAAGCCACUAGGCCGAGGGCACGCCUGCCUGGGCGUCACACGUCGUUGCCCCCCCAUCUACUCCUUCGGGAUUGCGGGGGGCGGAUGAUGGCCUCCCGUGCGCCUCGCCGCGCGGUUGGCAUAAAUGCCAAGUCCUCGGCGACGCACGCCACGACAAUCGGUGGUUGCGAAACCUCGGUUGCCCGUCGUGUGCGGUCGUCGCGCAUCGAGGGCUCGAAAAAAUUGCCGGGUUCCGGCUCGGCUUUCAACGCGACCCCAGGUCAGGCGGGGUUACCCGCUGAAUUUAAGCAUAUCAAUAAGCGGAGGA